CCUGGGUGGCAGCAGUCGAGAAUUAUUCGCAAUGGGGGAAACCCUGACGGUGCGACGCCGCGUGGAGGAUGAAGGUUUUCGGAUUGUAAACUCCUGUCACCACAGAAAUGGUAUGUGGAGAGGAAGGGACGGCUAACUCUGUGCCAGCAGCCGCGGUAAUACAGAGGUCCCACGCGUUGUUCGGAAUUACUGGGCGUAAAGGGUGCGUAGGAGGCAUUGUAAGUCAAAUGUGAAAUCUCUCUGCUUAACAGAGAAACUGCAUUCGAUACUGCUUUGCUAGAGGAUCGGAGAGGAGAAUGGAAUUUCUGGUGUAGCGGUGAAAUGCGUAGAUAUCAGAAGGAACACCAAUGGCGAAGGCAAUUCUCUGGAAGAUCUGACUCUGAAGCACGAAGGCUAGGGGAGCAAACAGGAUUAGAUACCCUUGUAGUC
rnacentral:rRNA from 1 species